rnacentral:rRNA from 1 species
UACAGAGGUCUCGAGCGUGAGGCGGAAUCACUGGGCUUAAAGCGUGUGUAGGCGGAUCGGUAAGUACCUUGUGAAAUCCCACAGCUUAACUGUGGAACUGCUUGGUAUACUGCCAGUCUUGAGCCAGCUAGGGGCUACCGGAACAAAUGGUGGAGCGGUGAAAUGCGUAGAUAUCAUUUGGAACGCCAAUGGUGAAAACAGGUAGCUGGGGCUGUGCUGACGCUGAGACACGAAAGCCAGGGGAGCAAACGGG